rnacentral:piRNA from 1 species
UAUGACGUCUAAACGUAAAGC